rnacentral:misc_RNA from 1 species
AAGUCGUAACAAGGUUUCCGUAGGUGAACCUGCGGAAGGAUCAUUAUCGAGUUUUUGAAGUGGGGUCGUCGUUUCUUGCGCUGGCAUUGCAGAUGCGCGGCGACGGCGGCUCCGCUUUUAUCCACUCAACAAACCCCCCUGUGCACUUUGAAGCGAGGUCUUUUGUUGAAGUUGGCGUCAGCCGGCUUUUGUAAUUGACUAAGCUUUAUUAUACAAAAACCCCAUCUAUUGUCUUGUAGAAUGUAAUGCCUCAUGAGUGGGCGAAAUGGUAAUACAACUUUCAACAACGGAUCUCUUGGCUCUC